GGCGAGCGGCCCCCGCAAAUCCCGCGAGGGCUACGGAGGGCGGAAGCGGCCGCCUCGGCCUCGACUCUCGCGAGACUGGCGGCGCGCGGCACCGGGCUGCCGUCACCUAGCGGCUGGGGGGAGGAGGCCGCGGGGCGGGCGGCGCCCGCGGCCGCAGCCCCCGGGCCGCUGAGGGCGCGGUGGGGUCGCGGGUUCGAGACCCGCUGCUCCAAGCGGCACUGCCGCCGUGCUGGGGGUCGGCCAGCAGCCAAGAGGCGGAGGGGGGGCGCCGUGGAAAGCCGCAUCUCUGCUGUGGCAAGUUUCUGUAGUCCACGUGAGCCACCCUCUGAGGCCAGUGGGCGCUGGCCGCCCCCGCUGUCCUGCUGUUGUUGGCCCUGCUGUAAGCGCUCACCCCGAUGGCCUGGGGACAAGUCAUGUCUUGUGUGGAGCUGCCCGAGGAGCCAUCUGUGAAGGCCAUGGCCCCCCUGCAGCCACCUCAUUGCCUCGCCAGGGCUGGCGCGAUGAGGCCGGACAGCUGCGGCAGCACACGCCAGCCCCGGUGAGGCUGCGUGUGGCGCAGGCCUGGGCUGGGGAGCUGUCGGCAGGUCAUGGUGAGGCCUGAGCUAGCUGCCUCGGCCUGGGAUUACCCCGGGUACCUGAAAUAAGCGGCCUGUCUGAUGCGUGGUGAUACCUGGAUGAGCAGGUGAGGCGGUCGCCCCUGCCAACUCUGUUCAGAAAGCCUUGUCUGCGUGGGGGACAUGUGCCAUGGUUCACCUCUGCUCCAGGAAUUUACUGACUCUAGCUGAUGUUACAUAAAAUCUGCCUUCAUCAAAUCUGAAAUACUGCACCAAAGGGAGAUAUAUACAAUGACCCUUGCCCUCUUUCACUCCCUUCCAGAGUUCGUCUCAAGACUAAAUUCAAAGAAGUUGUAUUGCUUUCAAAACGUCAUUAUCAUUAGCCUCGAAGCUGAAGAGACUGUUCUUUUCCAUCCUUGGAGAUCUUCAAAAGCCGUCUGGACAGGGUCCUGGGCAAUGUGCUUUAGGUGACCUGCUUGAGCAGGGGGGCUGGGCUAGAAGAUCCCCAGAGGUCCCUUCCGACCUCAGCAGUUCUGUGAUUCUGUGAUUCCUCCUACGCCUUGAGCUGAACAGCAAGGUAUUGAGAUCCUUCUGGCAUAGACAUAUCGAUGUGCUGCAUCCAAGAUAGCAGCUGGUUGGGUGUCUGGCCAAGGCAAACAGCGUGGGCGAAGCACAGCCAUAAUUACAACUUGUAAUAACGGGCAUGAAAGAAGACUCUGCAGAGUGAGUGGUAUUUGCUCUGUUGUUUCCAGUAGAAGAAAAAAAUGUAUCCAUAUUCCAAUCAGCUAGACUCAAGCAAGCUCUGAGUGGGGAAGCAUGUAGCUGUGUUAGCGUGAAGAUAAGCCCAAGGUAGUGUAUCUUGUCUCAGCUUGUCUGAAAAUACCAAAUGCACAUCUACCUAAAAGAAUCUCCAAGGCAACUUAACUUGACAUUUUGGAACCGUUUUGUGUGGCUAGGACUGAAAGGCCACCACAAGCAGAGUUUUAAAUGGCCCCAAACAUUAGCUGAACAGUUCACAAAAUAAAUAACAAGGUAUGAUGGGACCAUAUUUUUUUGGUAAUCAAAUUGCAUAUUAGAGUUGGCACUAAAGAAAGAGACUGUAUGUGUUGUAUUUACUGGCUUUUCUCUUUUUGUUUCCAUCUUUUACUGACACAAGGAAAACAAUUUCAGAUUACAACAGCAGCAAUUCCAAACAACCUUAAUGUAAGUUCUCUUUUCCCCAGAAAUAACAGCCAGUGCUACUUUUCAUACAGUAUGGUGAGCUAUCAAGACAGAGUUUUUUAAAAACGAUCUUUCUUCAGUAAAGGGAAUAGAAAAUAAAAGCCUUUCUUCAUUA